GAUGAACGCUGGCGGCGUGCCUAAUACAUGCAAGUCGAGCGAACAGACGAGGAGCUUGCUCCUCUGACGUUAGCGGCGGACGGGUGAGUAAAACGUGGAUAACCUACCUAUAAGACUGGGAUAACUUCGGGAAACCGGAGCUAAUACCGGAUAAUAUAUUGAACCGCAUGGUUCAAUAGUGAAAGACGGUUUUGCUGUCACUUAUAGAUGGAUCCGCGCCGCAUUAGCUAGUUGGUAAGGUAACGGCUUACCAAGGCAACGAUGCGUAGCCGACCUGAGAGGGUGAUCGGCCACACUGGAACUGAGACACGGUCCAGACUCCUACGGGAGGCAGCAGUAGGGAAUCUUCCGCAAUGGGCGAAAGCCUGACGGAGCAACGCCGCGUGAGUGAUGAAGGUCUUCGGAUCGUAAAACUCUGUUAUUAGGGAAGAACAUAUGUGUAAGUAACUAUGCACGUCUUGACGGUACCUAAUCAGAAAGCCACGGCUAACUACGUG
rnacentral:rRNA from 1 species